rnacentral:lncRNA from 1 species
GCGGGUGUCCCCGCGGCGGGAGCGCGGCGGCGCGGGGCUGUAUGGACGUGAUGUCCCCGCAACAGGAGCACCUCGGCCCGGGCCGCUCGUCCUCGGUGAGCGGCGAGAGCAGGGGCUUCGCCGCCGCCGACAACAAGAAGGUUUAGCAAGUGCUGAAGUGUUUUUAUAUCCAAAGUAGAGCUGGUACCUUGCUGCCUUGCAGAUUUUGCUUCACAAUGACAUUUGAAUCUAUUCACCACCUUGUCUUUAGAGGUGCACUUCAGACGGCUGCCAAAUAGGCUGGCAGGAUUAGAAUGACUGGCCAGGUUUCAGUGUCCCUUAGUAAAUCUGUCCACCUGGUGACAAUUUAGGAUGGUAGUAAAGUCAGAGCUUGUGUCCAGUCCUGUGGCUAAGCAGUUUCUGGGAUUUUGCUGGCUGUGGCACAGCAGUGCUGAUGUGUCUCUUUGGACUGGGAGGUGAUGCUGUGUGCUUCCAUGUGUUGUGUCCAUGUGUGCUGUGUCUCAUCAAGCCACAUAGUGCUCCAGCCUGACUGCAGCCCUGGGGACCUCUUCUAAUGGCAGCUACUGUCAAUGGUGGAAUGGUUGCCUGCAGGGAGUUUCACCAAGAUUUCUACUACACUUUGCUGCAGUUAAUACCUGAUUGGUUUCUGAACUGGGCGUGUGAGACACCUACACAAGGUGAUGGAGUACAUUCUGCUGCCCAGCUGGGCAAAAUGAUGGAGUAGAUACUCACCCUUUCCAAGUGCUGUGAUCUAAUUUGAGUUGGCUACAUGUGCAGCUUUGAUUUUUAUCAAACAUUUAUUUCAUUUUUGCUGAAGACAGAAUACCAUGUACCUUCCAACCUGGCAGAGCACUGAUGUUAGGCACCCGCCUGAAAUGAGAAGUUAUGUUCAAGUACUGCGAAGAUGAACAUUUUUAUUGUGCAAGUUCCACUUCAUUAUUCAGCAUUCUGAGGACAAAUAUUAAUGGUAGCACUUGUGUUUCCUAUUCUUGCUCCAAAGAGCCCACAGUCAAAGGAAUGCAGACCUUGUUUUUGCCAACACUGACAAGAGAGCAGGGGUAUUACUUUUUACAGAUCUUGGCAGCCCUUUUGGAAUUCCUCAGCAUGGAGGCACAUGCAGCGGGGGUACAGAUGGAGAUCCUCCUGUGGAGAAGCAGCUUGAGACCCUGGCUGGGCCCUGCAGCAUAUGGCAGCUUUGUACACCAUGCACAGCCAACACAGGCAGCCACCAACAUCCAGCCAGCGACUCAGCUGCUUGUCCACAGUUGUGGUGCUUCCUUGAGAGUGCUAGAAUGUCACCUCUUUAUGUCUCUCUGGGGAAGAAGAUUCCUACCUUUAUCCAUGUACAGGAAAGGAGUAUUCCAAAUUCUGCCUGAAGCUGGAUCUCAGUGACAGUUGAAAUAUUUCUUUUACAGUUUGUGUCCUUUGGACUCUAUAUACGCCUAUAUACUCUAUACCUCUGUGUUGUCUUCCACUCAGUGCCAAAGCAUCAUUUUUGCACAAUACAGAAAGUUGGUUUUGGUAACAGGGAGCUUACCAUGUUUGUAUUGGUUGCAUACAGUGAAAUGGAAGAAUGUGUUGGCAAGAAAUCAGUUUUGAUACUGGUGACACAGUAUGUCAAGUUAAACAAUUUCGUUGCAAAUAUGUAUUUAACAUCAAGUGUUUUGCUUUCUGCCAAAAGCUACCCCUAAAUAUGUGAUGCUAGGCGACCACUGAACCUUUCUCCCUUCUCAUUAUCAUGACUAUGUUUUCUCAAAUUAGCUGAGAUUUGCUGCAUUGUUCUGUGGUUUUCUGAACUCCUACUUCAUCUUCCACUUGGCUGUCAAAACAAGCUGAAGGAUCAUGUGUUUGAUCACACCACAGAACCAGGAUAGGGACAGAAAAUGCCUAGGGAUUUUUUAAUGUAUUUUAUGUGACUAUUUAAACUAAUAUCCUGGAAACAUUUCUGUGCCUAUUCUUGGCAUGCAAAAUAAUUUGCACUGCUAACCUGCCUCACAGUCUGUAGGAGGUUCUCUCUGUUAAAUGCUUACAAUGUUCUGCUAAAAGGUGACAUUGAAGUGCAGUGUUUUAGUUCCUGCUUUUGGAAAAUUCUGGGCUAGUUUACCUCCUUUACUGGACUUACUGGAGUUACUAUGUGUGAUUGACCUGCGGAGAAGUUUUGUAUUGACUGUUUAGCUUAGAAACCAAUACCAGUAAAUUGAUGCAACUCUGAAGUAGAUUGCAGUAGCCUGAGUAAAAGUGAUUAUACUGAUAGAGCUAAUUUCUCAAAUUUGUCAAAACAAACCAUGCAGCAGAGAUAUCUUUUAUGCCAAUGUAACUGUGUCAGCAGUAGCAGCUGGGUCAUUUAACCAUAUUUAUAAGUUCCUGGUGUGUCACUUCUCUCUUCUCAGAGGGUCUAGAUUCCAACCAACCCUGAAGAUUUUAUGCAAAACAAUACCUGGUAGCACAAGAAGUCAGUCCUAGGAUUUUUGCUGCCUCCUUGAAGAUUUCAGGUAACUGCUUAAAAUGUUUUGGAGGCUCAGCAGUUUUUAAUAUUUACACCUACAAAGUGUGCAAAAAUUUUAACUAUUUUGAAUACUAAUCAAAGUAGCAUUUAUGGUUUGAGACUUGAAAUCUGGCAAUUCUGUCACUGUAAAUAUGUGUUUCUUUGUGAUUCUGAUCACAAGUGCAGCAACAGUUUACUGGCAGGGAAAAGGGAGUUAUAGUGUUCCGCAACAGUGUAUUAAAUGGAUAAAUUCAAGCAAAUUAAUGGCAUUGGAAGAGUAAUCAUGCACAAUCUUCAUCCCUUGUUUUACUCUGAAAAGAUGAAUCAAGUGUGUAUUAACCAUUAUAUUUUAUGAUACCUGGAUCUCAUGCCAAUAUAUGUAUGGUUUUUUAAGAUUUCUUCUUCCAGCAAGGCUGUCCUGUUUACUAUGGUCCUGGCUGAGGAUCUGGUGGGUUGGUUCUAGAAUCACACCUGGUAGUGCUGGAAAUUUCGGAGACAUAGGAGCUCUUCUCGCACUAUUUAGUGGAGUGAAGAACAAUUCCUGUCAUCCUGCAGACAUAUCCUGUAGCUAUUUUGUCUCUGAUGUGGACUGAAAAAGCCCCUACUUUAAUGAAAUCACUCGCAAAGCCCACCUUGGUGGGCUGUGCUGGCUUGUGGUAGCUUCCUGUGUUGUGUGCCUCCUGGUGCUGAUUUAAUUCCGAACUAGUGUUAGUAAUCCUUCAUUUCUCUGUCCAUGAGAGAAACUGAAAAUUAUGCAGAAAACAAUGUGUCUAGUUCUUGAGUCUCCUGUUCCUGGGAAUUCUGUCUGCCCCUCCUGGUUGCAGUAGGAAAGAGAGGGGCACGAUAGGUCAUGUGGGAUGUAAUACUCAAGAACCACAAAUAAUAAAUUAUUGCCUCUUUACUUAAUGUUGCUUGAAGUAUGGAUAUGGAAUGGGGGGAAUCUCCUCUCUCUGUCAUCUCUAAAGUGCUCCUGAGAAAGUCUGUAUGUACAGAAACUGGGGUAGAAUUUUAUCCAUGUGUUAACCUUCAUGCUUUGUGGCAAGCUCGAAAGGAAACUUUGGGCUUCAACAAGACCACCACAAACAGAGUCACUGGUCUGAGCAGUGCCCUGACUCACUGUAGGACCCACAAGCAACAUACUCAAUGUUCCCCUUCUCUAGGAUGUGUUUACUAAUCUUUCACAUCUUCAUCUUGUGAUGUAGAUGAGUGGAAUCUUUUGAAGACAUCCAUAGCACUGCUUCCAAACAUUUGUAUCUUUUGGGAAGUAUGGUGAAACAUGUUUUGCUCUUAGCUUCUUUUAUCCAUUUUUCUUUCAGUCUUUGCUGUGCUCUCUAGCAGCAACUGUUCCAUGAUGAUGUGCUUUUGGUUCCACUGUGUUGAUAGCUCUUUUCUCUUGUGCCCCUGCAAUUGUUUUCUCUGCAAUUAUCCAUCCAAAAAUGGCUUUCUUUCUAAGAAGGUCCUUGUAAGUAAAAGUAUUCUGCCAGCAUAAACAAAAGCACAUAGUUUUGUCACCUGCUCUGCCUUUAUGGUAAAUGGUCUCUCUGUGGGAUCUACGUCUCUGCUGCUUGAGCCAGCAGUUCAAAUGCAGUCGUCUUCUCCCCCUGUUUAUGAGGGCUCAAGAGUGCUAUAGGUCAGCAUAGGUCCAUUUCUUGCUUUAACGAAGUAUAAGAAUUCUUGUUAUUUUUGGUACUUUUGGACAACUCUAGUCUAUAAGUCUAACAAAUACUGCAUUAUAAUAUGCAGGAAAAUAUAAUCUAUUGCCUCUCAUAAGUGGCCAGUGAUACAGGGGCAAGAGUGAUACCCAGUUGUUCUGCAAAAUUGACUGCUAUAUGCUGAGGGUUGUUGUGAUUUUUCUGAGUUUUCAGGCAUUUAGCUGAACUUUGCCUCAUAGUUUCUGGUAAGGAUUUGUUGUCUGUGCUUUGGUGCAUAUCUAGCUAAACCAGGAGUGUGUACCACAUAUAUGUUUUGUUGCUCAGACAACAAGAGCAGAGUUUGCAUGAGUGAAAUCCCUCGUUGUUAUUAACUUAAAUACGUUUAGAGAGUAGGAUUUGUUAAAAUCAGACUUCCUUUCAUUAGAAAAAUAAAGCAGUGAAAGGGAGAGCUUAGCCACUUGAAAGCAAUCCUCAGCUGGAGGCAUUGGCACAUCUGAGGGUUGUCCCUGUCAUCCAGUUAAAUGACCCAGGCAGAUGUCCCAGCCUUGACCCAUUUCUGGAGUGAGCCUGUAAAUCAGGAGCCUGAAAUCCUUCAGUGUCUGGGGAGGCUUUAACAAGGUUAUCUGCACAUUGCUGAGGAGGCAUUUCUGCUGUGUUUACCUGUCACUCAGGAACUAAGUAAAUUUUUCAACUGUUUUGUGUGUCUGUUCUUAAACAGACAUCAGGUAACAUUUUCUCAUCCUAAGCUCAAACCACUGCAAGAAGACAGUUUUCCCUGUGUUGCUGAACAUAUACAUUUUUCUGUUCCCUGUCUUUUGCUCAAAUAGCAAGGAGAGGAUUGAUGAUGAUUAACUAUUUUUUUGGUUUACCUUACUUUCCUUUUACAGUCAGUGGAGAAAAACUUAUUCAGACAAGAUGAGCCGUGCCCUAAAUUGUCCUUUUCUCUCUGUCAGCUAUAAAAGGAGCACAGGGCAGACAGCUCAGGUGUGUGAGUCAGAGGCUGGGGAGAGGAAUCUUCCUGCGUGUUUCUCACCAUGGCAUGGCUCAGGUAGCACACCCUGGCAAUGUGGGCAGUGUGCUCCCAGGGAAUCACUGCAACAGUCCCUAUCUUAGCUUGCCUGCUCUGACCAGUAGCUGCAGCAGGGUAUCCACUUAGUGCAUAGAUUUUAACUUCUCAAGACACUUGAAAAUAUUAUAAACAUUCUAUAUGUAUUACUUAAGUUACUUGUCAUCACAAAAUAAAUUGUAAGUACCGUUCAUUUUUUUUCAUACAUUUUUUAUUUAAUUCACACUCUGCCAUUCUCUUUAGAAGUGUGAUAUAGUAAAGCGAUAUACUUUACUUCCAGUUGUUUUUUGAUUUUACAUGUUACCUUUUACACAGUGGAAAUCAAUAUUUUAACUUGGCAAUAUAUUAAUUUAUAUACAUUUCAUAUAGUACCAUCAUCCACCUCAACUGCAAGGCAAAAUUAGUUGAAUGCUGGCAUCCAGGAAUAGAUUUUUCCUCCAGCUGAUGACUUGGGAGAUACUUGUGCAAGUUUUACUGUAAUCCAUAGGGGUUCUGGUUCCUAAGGAGACACAGCAUAUUUUCAGUGAUGUUUUUCAACCUUUCUGUCCUCAGCAUGGUGGGCUGGUCUGCUUAUAAACCGCCUACCAUCACAGUUUACAAAACAGUGUGUCAGAUUGUAAGUCUGAUUGAUAUCUGGUGUAAAUUCGUUCUUUUCCAGUCUACAGGACUAUAACUUUUUUAUACCAGGUGAGAAACUGGCCAAAUACUACCACCAGUCCAACAACUGAAAAUGCAAAACCUUUUUGUUUCUGUUAAAAAGUCAAGACAACCACAACCAGACAUGCAGAAAGUAUGAAGUUGAACCUGAAUCGGUGGGGAAGGGGCAGCAACUCAAGCUUUUGGACGUGAGGAAGACAGAAAUAGUUCUAGUUUGUCCUGACUGAUACAGGAUUAUCAUCUUUGCAUCUGGCACACUGUAAACAUUCAUUAUAGAUACUGAUUUUAUGAUACAUUUCACAUGCAUGUGAGUCAGCCAGCAAGUAUGAGAAUUUCUGUCUGUGUUGACCUUUCUAAUAUUUACAUGAAAAAAUGGGAGGUAAUGAUGUGGGACACAUGUUGAGAAAUGCUUCUCUGCGUCCCAUGCUUAGAUAAUUGGUCAGUGCAUCUCCUUUUCCUCACAAACAUCUGCUCUCACAACAGCUGUUCAGGAUAUAUCUCCUCUUCUCCACAUUGCCAUCCUUGCACAUAAUAAAAGCAGUAAAAAUGAGGAUAGCAGGCAACUGGAUCCAACUCAAUGAAAAGUGAAUUUAUCCUCUCCCUUCUCAAAGUUAAUCAAGUCAAGUUGUCAUGAUGGUCACUUAUUUUCUCUUCCCAAACUCUGUACAUGGAAAAAUAAAAAUAAAACACCCCUUUCUGCCUG